CAUGCACCAGUGGGGUCCCUCGGCCAGGUCUGCAUUCUCUCACAAUCUGGGACCCCUUGGGGGAUGUUGGAGAGCAGGUUUCUGCCCAAUCUUGCAGGCCAGGCUGAGGGACCUCACUGGUGCAUG
rnacentral:pre_miRNA from 1 species